GAAAGGCCAACCAGGCCUCCUCACGGUUUGGUGACAUCUUAGCUCAUCCUCCCUUCGUUUGGAAACAAUUACAAAAAGUCACCUGAAAGCAUCUACAAAUAACCUCUUUCCAAAAGCUAAGAGAGGGUGUUUUACCUCCAACACUUACUAUCCAUUUUCUGCUGUUGCUUGCACUGAUGGGAAUCCACACAGAGAAAUCACUUAGGACAAACAAUUGUUUUGUUAUUUCUCUUUUACGUUGUUUAUAAGUGUGUGUGUAUAUAUAUAUAUAUAUAUAUAUAUAAAUAUGAUAGAUAGUUAUAUAUUCACCUUUAUUUCAUGUAACUUUUUGCCAGAUCCUUACACAUAAUCUCAGUCUUCUUAAAGGCAUCACCUGGUGCCUAUUUUAAGAGUGGACAAAACUAGUUUAUAGAACCGAUAUCUACUCAGGCAGCAAAACAAGAUGGACACAAACCUUGCCUCAAAACUAUUCCCAAUGGCAUCCCAUUCCUCUUCACUGGAGACGAAGAUAUUGGAUCAGCAUUAGGGUGCUGCAUGCCUGCUACUACUCUGUCACGGGAGCAUAACUUCUCUAGUCAAAACUGAAAGCAACCAAGACCACAUUGAUUAUUGCAGUGAAUACACUGGAAUCCUGGAGAUACGGAAAAAGUUGCUCUGAUGAUCAUUUACCACAGCAUUUGAUUCCAGUUGUCCUGAAGGGAGAAUAAAAGCUGUAUCAUACAAGAACAUCAAAUAAGCACUGCCAGAACUCACCAAUGCUGGCUCCUUCAAGGGUGACCUGAGCACUUUCACAAGGGACACGCAGCAACAAUGAGCUGGAAGGGAAGGUGCUCUACUAAGAAAGUUGUGGCUAACACCAUUAAAGCUAC
rnacentral:lncRNA from 1 species